GAUGAACGCUGGCGGCGUCCUUAACACAUGCAAGUCGAACGAUGAAGCCCAGCUUGCUGGGUGUAUUAGUGGCGAACGGGUGAGUAACACGUGAGCAACAUGCCCCUGACCCUGGGUUAAGCGCUGGAAACGGCGUCUAAUACUGGAUAUGUCCCGUCACCGCAUGGUGUGCGGGUGGAAAGAUUUUUCGGUUGGGGAUGGGCUCGCGGCCUAUCAGCUUGUUGGUGAGGUAAUGGCUCACCAAGGCGUCGACGGGUAGCCGGCCUGAGAGGGUGACCGACCACACUGGGACUGAGACACGGCCCAGACUCCUACGGGAGGCAGCAGUGGGGAAUAUUGCACAAUGGGCGGAAGCCUGAUUCAGCAACGCCGCGUGAGGGAUGACGGCCUUCGGGUUGUAACCCUCUUUUAGCAGGGAUGAAGCGAAAGUGACGGUACCUGCAGAAAAAGCACCGGCUAACUACGUG
rnacentral:rRNA from 1 species